UGUUGCAGGCACUCCUGACGUGCAUGCGCUCCCCUGCGAUUAGUGACCAACACAUCUGCUCUGUCGUGAGCAUGUGCUUCGUGUCAUACAGGUCGCGGCCAAAGGCGAGCUCGUGCAGCGGUUCAGUUUUGUCUCAUUGCCAAUAUAUCUGCAUAAGGUACAUCUAAGGAGGCCUUCUCCGACAAGGAGGCUGCGGGUCGAGGUCGUCGGCAGCGACGAUGCCGCCAGCCGCAAGCGCCGCCGCGAGGACGACAAAAGAGAAGUUUAGAUCUUUUUGGACAGUUAUUGCAGCCAACAGCCAACAUUCUAAAUGAGUAUAAAACAAUGCUAUGAGGUAAUAUAUCCCUCUGUGAUAAUAGUUUAACAUAUGGGCUACUCGUGGUUGCAUGCUAAAUUAUUGCUGGUAUCAACUUUAUUAUUAGUUUAGUGAUUAUUACAAGCAUCUCAAUUUUUCAGUCAAAGGCAUCUAAAAUGUUUCUUGAUUCACGCAUGUAUAUUUCAAAGAGGAAUGCAGCCUUGAGUAAAUGAAUAUUGCAAAGCUUAAUACCAGUCCCAAAAACUUGCUCUGGCCAGAGAAAGAGGCCAAUAUCCGGCGUGGUCUGUUCAAUCUACUACAUGUAAUUUGGUGUUCUAUUGUGCGCACCAUCAGUUUUUGUUGUUGUAUAAGUUCUACUUCAAAUAUGUGUAGCUAGACCCCGUCGAAGUGAUCUUUUUGUUUCUCGUCUCAUGUAACUGAAGAAAAUGAGAGAAGGUAUUGGACACUGGUCAUGUAUGUAGUCGGCAGAGCUGUUUUAUGCAAUGCCUAUUGUCACAAUAGCAUAUAUGUCUAUACGGGGAGGAGACCAAGAGAGUACAUCAGAAGCCAUUGAUUUGCCAUGGAAUAUUAAAAACUUUCAGAUUACCUGUUCAUAUGAUGGUAUCCACAAGAAACUUCCUAUCCUGUAUGUUUUAGCAUGCUCCACACAAAUAUAUUAAUUAAUUUGUGUAGGUAUGCUUCUCCUUCUUUCAGUUCCUGAAUAAUUAUACCACCAUCUGUGUGGAGUAUCUUGUAGUGCUCCACACAAAUAGAUAAAUUAUUUUUUAUGAGUAUGCUUCUCCUUUUAUCAGCUCCUGAAGAAUUAUACUGAUGUCGUGUGCUUUAUUUGCAAGAUUUAUAUGACUUAAACAAGAACUUGUUAAAUAAUAUGAGUGCAUAUAAGUAGAUUGAUCUUGCCUCUUAUGUAGUCUGGUAGAUUUGGAAAGAAAGGAAUUGCAGAUUUUGUCUGGACAAAGAGAUGAAGCCAGAAAGGGAUAAUACGAUUGACCCAACUGUUACCGGUGCAAUGCUUUUGGGGUCGACCAAAACAUUUAAAAAUGUUAAAUGUGGUUGUGCAAUAAAAU